ACGCUCGACACUACGGAGGCAGCAGUGGGGAAUAUUGCACAAUGGGGGAAACCCUGAUGCAGCGACGCCGCGUGGAGGAAGAAGGUCUUCGGAUUGUAAACUCCUGUUGUUGGGGAAAAAGAGGAUGGUACCCAACAAGGAAGUGACGGCUAACUACGUGCUAGCAGCCGCGGUAAUCUGAGCGGGCUGGCAAGGC
rnacentral:rRNA from 1 species